rnacentral:tRNA from 1 species
GCGCCCGUAGCUCAGGGGACAGAGCAGCGGACUUCUAAUCCGCCGGUCGCAGGUUCGAAUCCUGCCGGGCGCGC